rnacentral:rRNA from 1 species
UACGUAGGGCGCAAGCGUUAUCCGGAAUUAUUGGGCGUAAAGAGCUCGUAGGCGGUUUGUCGCGUCUGCCGUGAAAGUCCGGGGGCUCAACUCCGGAUCUGCGGUGGGUACGGGCAGACUAGAGUGAUGUAGGGGGAGACUGGAAUUCCUGGUGUAGCGGUGAAAUGCGCAGAUAUCAGGAGGAACACCGAUGGCGAAGGCAGGUCUCUGGGCAUUAACUGACGCUGAGGAGCGAAAGCAUGGGGGAGCGAACAGG